rnacentral:rRNA from 1 species
GACAGAGGGUGCUAGCGUUGUUCGGAAUUACUGGGCGUAAAGCGCGCGCAGGCGGUUCUACAAGUCAGUGGUGAAAGCCCGGAGCUCAACUCCGGAACUGCCAUUGAAACUGCAGAACUUGAGGAUGAGAGAGGUGAGUGGAAUUCCCAGUGUAGAGGUGAAAUUCGUAGAUAUUGGGAAGAACACCGGUGGCGAAGGCGGCUCACUGGCUCAUUUCUGACGCUCAGGCGCGACAGCGUGGGGAUCAAACAGG